UACAGAGGGUGCGAGCGUUGUUCGGAAUUACUGGGCGUAAAGCGCGCGCAGGCGGCUCUUUAAGUCUGACGGUGAAAUGCCGGGGCUCAACCCCGUGCCCGCCGCGGAUACUGGAGAGCUGGAGACACGUAGAGGCAAGCGGAAUUCCGGGUGUAGCGGUGGAAUGCGUAGAGAUCCGGAAGAACACCGGAGGCGAAGGCGGGUCUCUGGGGCCGAUACUGACGCUGAGGAGCGAAAGCGUGGGA
rnacentral:rRNA from 1 species